GCGGGCGUAGCUCAAUGGUAGAGUUGUAGCUUCCCAAGCUACUGACGUGGGUUCGAUUCCCAUCGCCCGCUCCA
rnacentral:tRNA from 2 species